rnacentral:rRNA from 1 species
AACGAACGCUGGCGGCGGGGCUUAGGCAUGCAAGUCGAGCGAGAAAGGGGCAACCCAAGUAAAGCGGCGUAAGGGUGAGUAAUGGGUAGCUAACGUACCUUCCGGACGCGAAUAAUUUCCCGAAAGGGAUUGUAAUGCGCGAUGAGACCACGGCCCGUUCGCGGGCAGGGGUCAAAGGCCGGGGAUCCUUCGGGACCCGACGGCCGGGAGAGCGGGCGACCUCCGAUUAGCUAGUUGGCGGGGUAACGGC